GGGAGUGUCCGGACGCCUGGUGGGUCCCACGGUCUUCAAAACCGCUGAGGCGUUGUACCAACAGCGCCUGGUGGGUUCGAUUCCCAUCCACUCCCG
rnacentral:tRNA from 1 species